UACACUUUUGUUCCUUUUAGGUACUAAUGUGUACAUUUUAGGAGCUAAUAUGUACAUUUUAGGAGCUAAUAUGUACAUUUUAGGUGCUAAUAUGUAAAUUCUAGGUGCUAAUAUGUACAUUCUAGGUGCUAAUAUGCACAUUUUAGGAGCUAAUAUGUACAUUUUAGGAGCUAAUAUGUACAUUUUAGGUGCUAAUAUGUACAUUCUAGGUGCUAAUAUGUACAUUUUAGGAGCUAAUAUGUACAUUCUAGGUGCUAAUAUGUACAUUUUAGGAGCUAAUAUGUACAUUUUAGGUGCUAAUAUGUAAAUUUUAGGAGCUAAUAUGUACAUUUUAGGUGCUAAUAUGUACAUUUUAGGUGCUAAUAUGUACAUUUUAGGUGCUAAUAUGUACAUUCUAGGUGCUAAUAUGCACAUUUUAGGAGCUAAUAUGUACAUUUUAGGAGCUAAUAUGUACAUUUUAGGUGCUAAUAUGUACAUUUUAGGUGCUAAUAUGUAAAUUUUAGGU